UGGGGAAUCUUGGACAAUGGGGGCAACCCUGAUCCAGCCAUGCCGCGUGAGUGAUGAAGGCCUUAGGGUCGUAAAGCUCUUUCGCCUGUGAAGAUAAUGACGGUAGCAGGUAAAGAAACCCCGGCUAACUCCGUGCCAGCAGCCGCGGUAAUACGGAGGGGGUUAGCGUUGUUCGGAAUUACUGGGCGUAAAGCGCACGUAGGCGGACCAGAAAGUUGGGGGUGAAAUCCCGGGGGCUCAACCCCGGAACUGCCUCCAAAACUAUUGGUCUAGAGUUCGAGAGAGGUGAGUGGAAUUCCAAGUGUAGAGGUGAAAUUCGUAGAUAUUUGGAGGAACACCAGUGGCGAAGGCGGCUCACUGGCUCGAUACUGACGCUGAGGUGCGAAAGUGUGGGGAGCAAACAGGAUUAGAUACCCUGGGUAGUCCACACCGUAAAACGAUGAAUGCCAGUCGUCGGGUAGCAUG
rnacentral:rRNA from 1 species